CUGACGGCGACUCUGAUCAUAUUCGGAGUGGUUCUCUGUGUAUGGAAUUGGCAAAAGAAAAAGUCACAUAGUUCCAGUGGCCCAGCUCACACUGAUGCUAAACUCAAGAGAAAACACACCACAUGUACCACAGAGGCUGCUGGUGAUUAUGAGGAGAUCAGAGACACUCAACAGCAGACUGAACCACACACACAGGCCAU